GAUGAACGCUGGCGGCGUGCCUAAUACAUGCAAGUCGGACGGAUGUAGCAAUACAUUAGUGGCGAACGGGUGAGUAACACGUAGGUGACCUGCCCUAAAGAGGGGAAUACCACUUCGAAAGGAGUGCAAAACCGCAUAAACUUAUAGAGAUCAGAAGGCUAUAAGGAAAAGAGCGAUCUACUUUAGGAGGGGCCUGCGGCCCAUCAGCUAGUUGGUAGAGGUAACGGCCUACCAAGGCGAAGACGGGUAGGGGACCUGAGAGGGUGAUCCCCCACAAUGGAACUGAAACACGGUCCAUACACCUGCGGGUGGCAGCAGUAGGGAAUAUUGCUUAAUGGGCGAAAGCCUGAAGCAGCAACGCCGCGUGGACGAAGAAGGCCUUCGGGUUGUAAAGUUCUUUUAUAUGGGAUGAGGAAGGACAGUACCAUAUGAAUAAGUCUCGGCUAACUACGUG
rnacentral:rRNA from 1 species